UACCAGCGGACAUCCAGACAUGGCAGAACACGUGAUAUUAACCUCUGUAAUUUGUUGCCACUGAUUAUAUAGGAGGUUAAAAACGUGGAGUAUGAAGUCUCACAGUGGCCUGACGGAGCGCCUAGGGGCGUGAUACGGUCCGUGGCCCAACGUCUGAACUCCCCCCGCAUUAACCUGCCGCCUCCCUGCCUGGACCGACAAGACCCAUAAAACUUUCUUUAAAUGAUCAGAAAAUGUUGACAGAAAAAUAAUGGUACGUGGAAUACAACAAUGAAAAAGUGAAGAAAAAGAAGAAAAAAAAAACUUUUCCCAAAAUAGACUGGUUAUUUGGUGG